rnacentral:rRNA from 1 species
GACGAAGGGGCUAGCGUUGUUCGGAAUUACUGGGCGUAAAGCGAGUGUAGGUGGUUGUCCAAGUUGGAUGUGAAAGCCUUGAGCUCAACUCAAGAAAUGCAUUCAGGACUGGGCGGCUAGAGGACCGGAGAGGAUAGUGGAAUUCCCAGUGUAGUGGUGAAAUACGUAGAGAUUGGGAAGAACACCAGUGGCGAAGGCGGCUGAUCUGGACGGUU